GAUGAAGAACGCAGCGAAAUGCGAUAAGUAGUGUGAAUUGCAGAAUUCAGUGAAUCAUCGAAUCUUUGAACGCACAUUGCGCCCCUUGGUAUUCCAUGGGGCAUGCCUGUUCGAGCGUCAUCUACACCCUCAAGCUCUGCUUGGUGUUGGGCGUCUGUCCCGCCUUUGCGCGUGGACUCGCCCCAAAUUCAUUGGCAGCGGUCCUUGCCUCCUCUCGCGCAGCACAUUUGCGCUUCUCGAGGUGCGCGGGCCGCGUCCACGAAGCAACUAUUACCGUCUCUGACCUCGGAUCAGGUAGGGAUACCCGCUGAACUUAAGCAUAUCAAUAAGCGGAGGA
rnacentral:misc_RNA from 1 species